rnacentral:rRNA from 1 species
UACGAAGGGGGCUAGCGUUGUCCGGAUUUACUGGGCGUAAAGAGCGUGUAGGCGGCCACGCAGGUCCGUUGUGAAAACUGGAGGCUCAACCUUCAGACGUCGACGGAAACCGUAUGGCUAGAGUCCGGAAGAGGAGAGUGGAAUUCCUGGUGUAGCGGUGAAAUGCGCAGAUAUCAGGAAGAACACCAAUGGCGAAGGCAGCUCUCUGGGACGGUACUGACGCUGAGAAGCGAAAGCAUGGGGAGCGAACAGG